GAUGAACGCUGGCGGCGUGCCUAAUACAUGCAAGUCGAGCGAACGGACGAGAAGCUUGCUUUUCUGAUGUUAGCGGCGGACGGGUGAGUAACACGUGGAUAACCUACCUAUAAGACUGGGAUAACUUCGGGAAACCGGAGCUAAUACCGGAUAAUAUUUUGAACCGCAUGGUUCAAAAGUGAAAGACGGUCUUGCUGUCACUUAUAGAUGGAUCCGCGCUGCAUUAGCUAGUUGGUAAGGUAACGGCUUACCAAGGCAACGAUGCAUAGCCGACCUGAGAGGGUGAUCGGCCACACUGGAACUGAGACACGGUCCAGACUCCUACGGGAGGCAGCAGUAGGGAAUCUUCCGCAAUGGGCGAAAGCCUGACGGAGCAACGCCGCGUGAGUGGUGAAGGUCUUCGGAUCGUAAAACUCUGUUAUCAGGGAAGAACAUAUGUGUAAGUAACUGUGCACAUCUUGACGGUACCUAAUCAGAAAGCCACGGCUAACUACGUG
rnacentral:rRNA from 1 species